UUAAGUCCGAGCCAAGAUAGAAACAAGCCGAUCGUAACGAAAGAUAUUUCUCGAAAUAGGUAACUGAACAAAUGAGAUAACAGCUAUUGAUUGCGGACUUUUUUUAAACAGUGCGAAGAGGAGAGACAGAGAAGCGGUGAGACGGAUAUCAGUAAAUGGAAGGUUGGUCCACGUUCAAAACUGCAAUAAGACACGUGACGUAAUCAGCCGCAAAUGCGCGCGCGCGAGCGUAGCGGAGGGAGGGCACGUUUCGAAGUGUGCAGAUUCUCAAUGGAGCAGGUUGUCAGUUUGCCACAAGCUGAUCUAGCACGAACAAUGUCUAAUAAAGUGAUAGCGACGAACGAGAGUACCCCCAUCCAAGUGGGCGAAUAACAUCCGGGUCAUUCAAGAGGCGCCAAACUGCAGCAACCCCAGGAAACAAGAUAUACAAACUGACUAUAGUAAAAAUGCUUUAGUAGCGUUCGUCAAGAUGGCCAAGAUGUCACUCGGCAGUGGUGCGCCGACAGGACAACCAACAGCCGGUGCGAGGGGCGCCGAAGUAAUUGAAGUGUCGGUCUUUUGAAUUUUUAAGCCGUGUAUAAUCAAAAGUAGACACCAAAUUUGGUAUCUAUAUAUGAGUACUCACGCCGCUACAACCCACAGAACCAACUUUGUCAUCUUCAGUGCCAUGAGAAUCUCAACUCUCGUAUUUUGUGUUACAUUCUGGAUCUGUGUCUGCGUUUCCUAUAAAACUGCUCAUCAGACGCCGCGUA